rnacentral:rRNA from 1 species
UGGGGAAUUUUGGACAAUGGGCGAAAGCCUGAUCCAGCAAUGCCGCGUGUGUGAAGAAGGCCUUCGGGUUGUAAAGCACUUUUGUCCGGAAAGAAAUCCUUGGCUCUAAUACAGCCGGGGGAUGACGGUACCGGAAGAAUAAGCACCGGCUAACUACGUGCCAGCAGCCGCGGUAAUGCGUAGGGUGCAAGCGUUAAUCGGAAUUACUGGGCGUAAAGCGUGCGCAGGCGGUUUGCUAAGACCGAUGUGAAAUCCCCGGGCUCAACCUGGGAACUGCAUUGGUGACUGGCAGGCUAGAGUAUGGCAGAGGGGGGUAGAAUUCCACGUGUAGCAGUGAAAUGCGUAGAGAUGUGGAGGAAUACCGAUGGCGAAGGCAGCCCCCUGGGCCAAUACUGACGCUCAUGCACGAAAGCGUGGGGAGCAAACAGGAUUAGAUACCCUGGUAGUCCACGCCCUAAAACGAUGUCAACUAGUUGUUGGGGAUUCAUUUCCUUAGUAACGUAGCUAACGCGUGAAGUUGACCGCCUGGGGAGUACGGUCGCAAGAUUAAAACUCAAAUGAAUUGACGGGGUCAUAGCUGUUUCCU